UGUGUGCCCCUCAGAAUUCAACAAAUGCAUAACAAUGUUAGAAUUGUUUUCAAUUUCAAGGCAAUAACCAUUCAAUCUCAAUAAUGGGAAGGCCAUAAAAAAUAGUGCUUGUGUUACCUUUACAAAAAAAGAAAAGAAAAAAGAUAAGCUUUCUUGGCGUUCCUUGCAACACCCAUCCCUAGGUUACCUCUAAAUGCCCCCUUGACACCACUCGAGGAUAAAGCUGCAUUGCCCUGUAAUUUCACACCUUUGGCUAAAAUGUAUUGUCUAUGCUGCAUGCCACUAGUCCAAUGGCUAAGAUCCAUUGCCUAUUAUUUAUCUACUUUUACCUAUCUAUAAAGCAGUAGACCACAUUAAGAGUUCCAUUCAUUUCCAAUAUCAUCCACAUUAUGGUAGAGAUGCUGGAAAUGGGUGAAGUCAGAUUGUUUUAGCAAAUUUCAUGUUUCCAAAUGAUCACAUGUUGUCUAGACUUGGCAAAUUUGGAGAAAAAACAGGCAAGCCUUGCGUCAUCAACCUGUAAUGGCCUUGGACUCCUUUGGAGAGAGAUCAUAGUCUCUCAACUAUCCUCUUCUUCAGGAAAUACUAGUUAUCAACCAUCCUCUUCUCCAGGAAAUAUUAGUUAUUACAGUCGACCAUGCUGAUGGCAUCACCUCCCAGGUUGGCCACAAUGCAAACUUGUGAGGUUUCCGGCACUCAUCCAAGUGUUGUCGUUGGUGUGGCCAGCUGAGCUUAUUGAAUCGCUUUGAUUUCAUGAGUCCCAUUUGCAUGGUGGGGUUAACCUGCCGGACAGGUUUCAUGCUACACUCACACCAUGGUGGGCACCACAUGCUGCUCUCCAGAAGCGGCCUGUUUAGCUGCUUUCACAAGCCAUACGAGCAAAAUCAAGAAUGGCAUGUUCCAACAGAGACAAAAAGGGCACAUUUGAAUCCGCCCUGAUUGCAAUAGCUCUUGAAUACCUGGGCUCUCACCUUCUUCUUUUGGAUCUCUUGGAAAGAUGAAAGGGAUACUCGACUGGCUUAAAUAUGGCAUUAUCGAAGGACAUGUAAAGAGUUUUGCGCAUUCAUGUUAUUUACAAGGGACAUCUAUUAGGUGCAAGAGAGAGAAAAAAAUAAAAUAAAAUUCUUUUAUGCUUCGUUAGAUUAUGGGGUUUAUACUUCCGUGUACCAGUGGGAAUUCAAGCUAAACUAUACAAGUCGUGGACCUUUAUUUAAUUGCCUAUCAGACCAAAAGUUACAUUGAUUUGAUUUCCCAAUUGGCUUAUUGGUGGGUCUUUAAUGCACGGCCAAAGGGGCUAGAAUAGUUAAACAAAUCUGAAUUUUGGAUGAUAAUAUAAGUGGGUCAAACGCAUCAGACAA